UACGUAGGGGGCAAGCGUUGUUCGGAUUUACUGGGCGUAAAGGGCGCGUAGGCGGUCACGACAAGUCAGUUGUGAAAUCUCCGGGCUUAACUCGGAACGGUCAACUGAUACUGUCGGACUAGAGUGCAGAAGGGGCAACUGGAAUUCUCGGUGUAGCGGUGAAAUGCGUAGAUAUCGAGAGGAACACCUGCGGCGAAGGCGGGUUGCUGGGCUGACACUGACGCUGAGGCGCGAAAGCUAGGGGAGCGAACGGG
rnacentral:rRNA from 1 species